GACGUACGCUGGCGGCGUGCUUAACACAUGCAAGUCGAACGGAAAGGCCCUGCUUUUGUGGGGUGCUCGAGUGGCGAACGGGUGAGUAACACGUGAGUAACCUGCCCUUGACUUUGGGAUAACUUCAGGAAACUGGGGCUAAUACCGGAUAGGAGCUCCUGCUGCAUGGUGGGGGUUGGAAAGUUUCGGCGGUUGGGGAUGGACUCGCGGCUUAUCAGCUUGUUGGUGGGGUAGUGGCUUACCAAGGCUUUGACGGGUAGCCGGCCUGAGAGGGUGACCGGCCACAUUGGGACUGAGAUACGGCCCAGACUCCUACGGGAGGCAGCAGUGGGGAAUAUUGCACAAUGGGCGGAAGCCUGAUGCAGCAACGCCGCGUGCGGGAUGACGGCCUUCGGGUUGUAAACCGCUUUCGCCUGUGACGAAGCGUGAGUGACGGUAAUGGGUAAAGAAGCACCGGCUAACUACG
rnacentral:rRNA from 1 species